rnacentral:lncRNA from 1 species
AUCCCUCAUCAAAUGCCUCGUUACUUUGGAAAAGGACCAAGCCACCACAUAAUGUCACUAGAUACAACUUAACCUCAUUCGCCAUUACCCUGAACGAGCUCACACCUGGUUUGCAGGUAUAAUAAUAUUGGUGUUAUUAUCAUUAUGUAUGGUGGAUUCCUGUUUCUUCUAGACUUGCUAUGUGUGUAAUUUCUGAUCUUGUGUUAUAAAAUUUUGAUCAUGGAUUUAGGAGAUACUUCCUCCUACAGACUCUAGGCUCAGACCAGAUCAACGGCAUCUCGAGAAUGGUGAAUAUGAGAAGGCUAACUUAGAGAAACAACGGUUAGAAAGAAGACAAAGAAUGGUACACAUAACCUUAACGUACUUAUGGUCCAUGAAAAUUUGUCUGGAGUUUUGCAUGAAUUUUACUAUUUAGUCUGUUACAUUUAUGAGAAUUUUCAUCAUUAUAUGGUGAAGUCAUGAUGUUUUAAGAUCUCUAGAUUGCUUGCUUGGUUUCUUUGCAGUCACGGCAACUUCAGGAAAGUGGGUGGAGACCGAGAUGGUUUGAGAAACAAGGAGAAAGCGAAACCUUCAAGUACACGGGAGGUUACUGGGAAGCACGAGGACACAGGAAUUGGGAUGAUUGCCCCGACAUCUUCGGGGAGUUCAAAGAAGAGUUAGUGGAUUCUGCUUAAGAUAAAAAAAGCUUCUCUGUUUCAUUUCCAGGUAAUAUACUCAUCCUACCAGAUCUUGUACCUGCUCAAGAAUAUAUCUCCCUUGUAGCUUUUAAACAAAGAACUUCAGAGUUUUGAUUGGUUGUUUCGUUUCUUUGCAUAGAAUCUGCUUAAGUGAAGAUUUUCAUCCGGACGACAUUGGAGUUGUGUUACACAGAAGAAAACGUCCCUCGACAUAAAUCAAAAGCCAUUUUCUUCAGUUUUGUGCUUGAAAGUGGGCAUAGAACAAGAUCAGAAGAAAGGCUUUGGUUAUACUUUUUGCAAAGGAUAUGUAAUCUUAUCUCCUAAAGAUGUCCUCCUUUUGGUAGUAGAGUGUCUCUGUAAAGUCUUAUCUCCUUAUCUCUCUUUAUCUCUGUCUCUUUCACUCUGUAUCCUUCUCGUUAAAUAGUUGAGAUUAAUGUAGGUUGGUCAAUACAUUUGGACAAGUUCAUUGUGAUCCAUUUGUAUUUAAUUAAAAAAACAUAUAUAUGUGAGGAAUAAAUAAAUUUAGGCAAAGACUCUUUUCCUUCAAAUCUAGAUUCCAGAGUUGCUACUUUGAUUAACAAAUUUUUUUUUUUUUUUUUGUGUGUUGCCGCUUUUAUAAACCGAAGAGUCUCAUAAAAAGGUAAACCAAAAAUGGAUUUAAACCGAAACCAAAUCGAAAACCAAUUAGCCGACCAAAAUAUCCGUCAAAGUCAAACUCUCCUCUGUUAGGAUAAGCUCAUAUGCAGAAUUUCAAUUUGAAUUGAGAGGAGGAAGAAGAAGCGAUCGCAAAACCAAAAAUGUCAGGAGUUUACGAUAAUCAAGCUGAUAUCUACUUAGACGCACGCCCUACUUAUCCCGCCGAUUGGUACUCCAAGCUCGCCGCUCUCUCUCACCGUCACCAUCUCGCCUGGGACGCCGGAACCGGCAACGGCCAAGCAGCAAUCGGGGUCCGUAUUUUCUCCUUUCUCCUUCUCUUUCAAUUUUUUUCUAAAUUUGAUUUUAACAAUGCCAAUCUCUGAUCUUGUAACGAUUUCGGCUUAGAUCGCUGAGCACUACGAUAGAGUCGUCGCGACGGACGUGAGCGAGACGAUGUUAAAUCUGGGGAAACCGCAUCUGAAAGUAACUUACCACCACACGCCACCGUCGAUGACCGACGACGAAAUGGUGAAUCUGAUCGGAGGAGAGAACUCCGUCGAUCUGAUAACGGUGGCGACCGCCGUGCACUGGUUCGAUCUCCCGAGAUUCUACGCAAUCGCGAAUCGUCUCCUCCGUAAACCAGGAGGGAUCAUCGCCGUGUGGAGCUACAACACAGACAUGGUGGUGAGCCCUGAGUUCGACUCGGUGAUGACUCGGUUCAACGAAAAAACGACGCCGUAUUAUAAAUUCCCCGAGUGCCACUACUUUUUGGAUGGAUACAAAACGUUGCCGUUUCCGUUCGAGAAUGUGGGCCUGGGCUCAGAGGGAAAGCCCAUGGAGCUGGAGAUGAAGAAAACGGUGUCGUUUGAAGGAUUCUUGCGGAUGUUGAGAUCAUGGUCUGCCGUCGGUGCCGCGAAGGACAAAGGAGUCGACUUAUUGUCGGAAAAUGUAGUGAAAGAGCUCGAAACGGCUUGGGGUGGAUCCGAGCUGGUUCGAACCAUCGUCUACAAGACGUUUAUGCUCGCAGGAACCGUUAGAAACUAGCUUAACCGCUCAAAUUUGUCAUAGACAUUUGAAUGAUUGUGUUAUGUUAUAGUAAUAAUAAUUAGUCACCGAAGAUUAUAUAUAAAGUUCCUGUUUAAAUAUUUCAUCCGAAACAACAGAUAUGUGCAUCUAACGUGAGGAACAUGUUGUAAUGGAACGGAACAGCCAAAGAAGUGAAAACACCAUCCAAGUUUCAAUUUAUUUCAGGCAUAAGAUAAAGACAUAGUUACUUAAAAAAACAUAUAUAGUUGCAUAAUGAACCGAUAUAUAGUAAGGUACGAGUUUGCUUAUUUUAGUAUGCAUAUGUGUGCACUUAUUAGUUGCAGAUGGCACCACCAGGUAGUGGGGUCACACGAGGACAGAGGUUGCGGAGCUGAUCAAAUCUAACAGUGACGUUGAGAGUUAGGCCGAGAAGAUUGAUUCUAGCGGCAGUGCAGGCACAUGCAGACGCAAGAGCAUCAUUAUUAAGACUAGCUAAGAGAGUGCAACAUCGGUUCCCUCUGGGGUUGAUGAUAACGCCGAUGCCAAGUAUGUCGACGCAAACCUGGAGUUGGAGCCUGGUAAGAGGACACACCAGAGGUUGGGCCACCGGAGCUUGGGCUGAGGCAAAGCCCAUGAAGACGAGACUGGAGGCGAGGUAGAGAGCCAUGAUUGUCGUCAUGUUCUUUGAAUCCAUAUUGUGAAGAUGCUAAGUGAGAUUUUGGUGAUUAUAGUUGGGAGAGAUAUUAUUUGUAUUGGAGGUGAGGCCGUGAGGGUUUGUAUUUAUAAUGUUUAGAACCUUUAGUUAGUGACAUUAAAAUGUAACUAAGAGUUUUCUCUAACGUCUAGUUAAAGGUUAAUUGUGACAAUUACGGUUAAAUGGACCUAACGAUGAUCUAGAACUAGACUUCAUUCUAGAGGCAAAAAAGGUUUGGCAAGAAAAUUUAUGUUUGAACAAACACUAGGGUUACUAUGGAUUUUUGAAAAUUUAAUCAAAAUUACUAAGUAACAUUUUUAAGACAAACAUACUAGUUGAUUUGGAUUUUGCUGAAUAAUAUUACCUGCGUAUUUAGUUACUUGUAUAACAUUUUAGAUUGUGUGAAAUAUUUAGCAUGCGUCUUUUAACAAAGAAAAUUAUUUAGCGCGUGUGAAAUACUCUUAGAGCAUAUAAGAUAUAUAAUAUUGUGAAUGAUGAUUAUGUAUAGUAAACCUAACAGUGUAGAAAUGGCGGCUAGGGGUAGCUUAAAGCGUCUCAACAAUCAAUAGAAGGUUUGGCGAUGGAUAUAAUGGUAAACACAUGCCCAUUUUAAGUCAACCUCCAAAACCCACAAGGCCACAAACUAAGUUAAUCGGUCAACAAUCGCGUCGACCAUGAACAAUUGACGAUUUUUGUUAUUGAUUCAUAUUUUUUCUUUCAUAUAUAAAUUGCUUACUUCUUCGGAAGCAAACGGAUGUAAUAAAAAGAAACAACACUGGCGUUCAACCGUUGAAAUGGAAACCAUUGAACUAUGAUCAUUUAGCUAAUAACCUUCAUAGACUUCUUCUAUGAUAUAUGUGUGGAUAUUUUGAACUUCUAAUUUUGUUCUGUCAAAGUUUGUCUGAUUUUUUUUUUUUUUUUUUUUUUCGUUUUGGCCUUUUCUGUGUAUGUUUGGAGAGGAGUGUAGAGUAAUUAGUUUUUUUUUUCUUUCGUUUUUUUAGCUAAUGUGUUGGGUAAUUAGUUAUGGUGGCGAGCGCUUGUUUUUAUAGUCUUUUAGAACGUUUUUGUAGUUGGUAAAGGAUGUGAUUUGAGAAUUAUCUAGUUGACUAUACAUGUAGUUAAUGAACAAGAGUAACUUUUCCUACACAGAGCAAGAGUUGCAGCUCCUAAGCGAUGUUAGUUUCAAAUCUAAACCUCAAUCUAGUCAUCUAUAUAUAGAAGAGGUUUGGCAAGGAACCUUUUUUCAAGCCUCAAAAUUCUACAAAACUCACAAUUUUGUUAUUCCUACUAGAGACAUCUUUUUCUACUAUUCAUUUUAGAUAGGGCCAUAGAUAAUGUGGAUUAAUUUGGGCAUUUUCAAUUAAAAAAGAAAGAAUUGGUACUAGUAAUGGAAUUUACUAAUAGUUUAUGCUUUUAACACUAUUCUAUGUUGUUACAAGUUAAAUGGUAUUUUACAUUUUUUAUGUAUUAGUCAACUAUUACUCAAUUAAUCCUGAAAUUUAUGGUUAUUAUUAUUUUUAUAAUAAUAAUAAAGUACAAACAUUUAAGCAUUUUGCUAAUUUUCAAAAUACAAGUGUCAAGUGCACCAACUAUAUGUGUUAAAUAAGGUAUUUAAUAAUUACUGUAGUGUGAAACAUUCUAAUAAUAUAUUCAAUAUUUUUUAAAAAAAUUGUUAGGCGCUAACAACGUGCCAAAAAUGAAUAUUGGUAAUUAAGGUAUUUAAAAGAAGAAGAAGAAAAUUCAAAAUCCCUUGAUCUAAAACCGUGAGGGCCAAGGUAAUAUAGAGUGAAGCCCAUCCAUCUCCAAGCCUAACAUGAAGAGGUUUGGCAAUGGAACAAAGUGCAACAUAACCAUCGACGUGAACAUCUAAAACCCCUAUAAAUUUACACAUAACCUCAGUUCAUGUCAAAUCAACAAUAUCCGUACAGUANNNNNNNNNNNNNNNNNNNNNNNNNNNNNNNNNNNNNNNNNNNNNNNNNNNNNNNNNNNNNNNNNNNNNNNNNNNNNNNNNNNNNNNNNNNNNNNNNNNNUCAGUCUCUCUCCUAAUAUCAUCACACUCUGUAGGACUUGUGGCCGCAGGAUUCCCCCAGGUUUCACUUGCCCGUGAACACAUCCUCUCCCCAUAAGAAACUAAAAUUCUACUCAGUAUGCAUACACCCAAACCGUAACUAGCUCUCAUUAUAUAUAUAUAUAUAUAUAAGUCAUUAUAUAUAUAUAUAUAUAUAACUUUGUCACUCAUUAUAUAUAUAUAUAUAUAUAAGUCAUUAUAUAUAUAUAUAUAUAUAACUUUGUCACUUUUACUUUCUUCCAAUAAUUCAAUAAAACAUUAAUAAAGUUGUAGUGGCCUAUCCAUUGUGUUUUUUAUUUUUGUUCUUUGACCACACAAAACCAUUGGUGGUUAUAGAUAUCUCUAUGGAAGAAACCAUUAUAAACAACUUGAUACAUACGUAAACUCAAAUCGCAAACAAAAUGAUUUUAUAUUCUAAUGUCUUUCUCUCUUGAUCUCUGCUGCAAUAAAUCCUCACUACUCUUCUAUAUGGAGCACAUGAAUUUGCAACCUUAGAGACUGAAAGGACAAUCGGUAAUAAAAAACAAAAUAAUAAUCCAGGAUUAAUUUAGUUGGAUUAGCACAUGCAGUUUAUAAAUCCUCUGUGGGAUCUGGCCGUCGGCAUCCCUUACUUACUUGAAUUUUUUAGUUUUAGUUUUCGUUUUGCAAAGUUAAAUUCAAAUUAAUUUAUUUUUCUUAUUUAGAUAAAAAGGUACAAAUAAAUGUCGAUUUUGAUUUUUGAUAACUUAAUUUUGAUCUUAACCACAAAACUUAAUAUUUAGUUGAGUGGAUGAUACACAUAACACAAAUUACGUCCAUGAUACGUUAACCGUACGUGGGUUGCUUCUCGAAUAGAAGCUCUACAAAUAGGAAGACAAUUAAUGUCACUUAAUCUGUAUAUUUACACAUUUGUUUUUGUUAUAACGCAAACGGUGAAACAUACUUCCUCCGUUUUAAUAAGUGUUAUUCUGACACAUUUCACACAGAUUAAAAAAUUAAUAAAAUAUAUAAAUAUACACUUAAUUAAUAUACACUUAAUUAAUAUAUUUUUAUAACAUUUAAUUACAAAGAUUAUUAUCUUUAAAUGAUAGAUAAAACAGGAAAUAAUAGUAAAAAAUUACAUUGAAAAUGUAGAAUGACAUUCUUUUUAAAACAAAAAAUGAAAUCUAAAACAAUACUUAUUAUGAAACGGAAGAAUCAGUAGAUUUAUGAAAACAUUGUGUCUACUGAUUCCAAUGUUUUCUUUGAUUACUAUAAUCAAUACUAAUAUGUAUCGGUUGCAUGAAAUGAUUAUACAAAUCACAUUAAAAAUAAAAAUGAUAUUAAUAUCUGUAACGAACGACUAUAAUCAAUACUAGGCAUGGGCACGGGACGAAUACUUGCCAUUUUUGGUAUACUUGAUACUUGACUUGCCCCGUUCAAGUAUCAAGAUAUUUGUACUUGUACUUGACUUGUUAAUAUCAAGUACUUGCAAUUUCAAGUACUUGCCAAAUUUUUCAUUACUUGCAAGUUACUUGGCUUGUCCUCUUACUUGUAAAAGUACAAAUAGAAUACUAAAAAACCUAAAAUUUUGAGCCAUAUUUAAUUAAAACCUACGAUAAUAUUUAAUAUUUUGACCUUUAGAUUUUUGGAAAGCUUUAGAUAUUGAAGUCUGGCAACUUAUUUGUCUUUUGAUAAGCAGACUCUUCUUUCAUUUUUUGUGUUGUAAUCGAUGUGGAACAAAAUUAAAAAAAAAUCAGAGAUUAGAAACGAGUAACGGGUCAAUAAAACCAAGUAGUAACUUUUUUUUUAAUACUUGAUACUUGCCUUAUACUUACAAGUAAUCUUCUUAAUAUAUUUGAUACUCGACUUGAUCAAAACAAGUACUUGGUUUUACGGGACCAGUACAGGUCAAAUAACGAGUACGAAACGAGGAACGAGUACCAAGUAAUUGUGCCCAGUCCUAAUCAAUACUACUGAUUCCACAGAGUGUGUCAGUAUCAGUCACAAGGAGGAGGACGAGAUUGUCCUGGUUAAAGACGAAAGUACCCCCAAGAGUUGCCGGAUUGAUAUGGAAGAUGAUGACAAAUGAUUGACAAUGACACUUGCGCGCGGAAUGUAUUUCUACUGCACAGGAUGAUGAAGAGUGGUCGGCUUUGGAUGGAUUGACCAGGGUUAACAGUCUCUUGAGCAUUCCAAGGUUCUUCUCUGGUGAGCUAAGAUCAAAUAGUUGGAGAAAAUGGUUUUGAUUUUUUUUUUCUUUCUUUGACUUGUGUGAUCGCGAACAAAAACACUUGAUACUAUCACCAAGUUCUUUGUUUUCAUAUUCAACUUUUUCUUCUACUUUUUUUUUUGGAAUUUCUUUGCAUAUAUAUAAUGUUUUUCUCUUGUGUUUCUAUAACAUGUCAAACUGUUCACAGUACAGAUAUAAUUCAUCAAAGAAAGUUUUGUCUAUAUCGACCAAGAAACUAUUGAUAUCGGAUACUUUCAUCCUUCUCUGUUCUUCAUUACUUUGAUUUGUAGAAGUGAAAAAGAAAUGAUCUUUCAAUACUAAUUAUGUAUUUUUAAUUUAUUAUGUCAUCGUACAUAUUUUUAAUAAAUUUAUGAUCAUUAUUACAAUUUAAAAUUUUAUUACUUAAAUAACUAAUUAUUGUUACUAUAUAAUUUUACUUAAGUAUACAGUUAAAACAUAUAAUUUUAUUUAAGUAUAAAAUAGAAGCAUCCUUUUUUUUUUGACAUCAAAUAGAAGCAUCCUAAUUGAGAAAUUUCGUUCAUAAAUAAAAAAGUUGUACUCUAAAAUUGGAAAAAUGAAUAGCAUAACUCCAAAAUUAUUAUUAUUCUUUUUUAAUGGAGAUGAUUUGAGUUUUUGGGGUUGUGGCAAGACCUACUUAUUAUUGAACUAUUUUGGUAAUUGUCAAUAUUGUGUACUAAUUUUAUUUUAUUUUUAGUGGUGAUAAUUUGAUUGGUUUUUAUUUUAGCGCCUAACCAUAUUCUUUUUUUCCACUAACUUAGUAAAACUCUCUUCCUUCCAUAUAUUUUACUUGGUUGAUGACUAUUUAUAACUUUAGCUAACGUUAUAAAUAGACUAUCUAAUAAUAAGUAAAUGUAAAACGUUUUCUAAUAUCCACACGUAAUUAUUAUAUAAGUACACACAACACUGAUGAGUUUAUUACUUUAAAAAUUUUAUCUUCUAUAAUAAUAAAAAAAAAAAACACAAAAUGAAUCAGAUCAUAGUUCUGCUCAUAGUUAUAGCUAUGCAUUUUGGGUUGAAUGAAAGUUGUCCAGACCAUCGUGUGGUGAUUACUAACCAACUCGGUAAAGGUCGUGCUCUCCAAUAUCGUUGCACUGGCUCACAUGAUGGCUCGAAUACUGGUAUCCGAACUUUAGCCAAGUUCAAUCAGAGUUAUCAAUUUCUGUUUCGCGAUUGGCCGACUAGUUGGACUGAUGAGCAAAAUAGAUCACGUUUUGUCUGUGAUUUAAGCUGGGGACCUCAAAAUGAGAACCGUGCUGAUAAUAUUGAAGUAUACCGAGCAGCCAUGAAUCGUAGAUGUGGCCUGCUACGUCAGUAUAUUGCCAGGGAAGAUGGCUUUUAUUAUAGAAGCGCAUAUAACGUACCAGUAGGGUGGGUUCGCGGUUGGACCAAAAAGUAAGAGCAUCAUUAUCCCUACCACCCAUUAAGAGUUUUUUAAGAGUUUUUUAUUAUUAAAAUUAGAUUAAGAAACCUUCUUAAAAAAUAUUAUGAUUGUAAUGGUACAUUGCUAAUACCCUAAUGGGUUUCUUAUAUAAUUUUUUUUUAAAGUAAACAUAGUUAUUUAAUUAUAACAUUCAAAAGAAAUACACAACUCACACAUACAAAUUUUAUUUGUAAACAUAAUUAAAACAAAGUAAAAGCUCAAUAAUCGUCUUGGCUAUCUCCAAAUUUUUGCCAUAUAUGCUCAACCAAAUCCGACUUCAAUUGGUGAUGCACUUGUGGAUUCCGAACUCUUUUUCGAGUAUCCAUCAUAUUAGUAAUGUUUGAUGGCAUAUCGGUUGAGAACGUGUCAUCCACAUUUCUAUUUUCAUUUUCUUCUCCUUGUUGGAAGUCUGAAACAUCAAGCAGAUUAUAUCUAUCUCUUUCGUCUUCUACUAUCAUAUUGUGUAAUAUGAUACAAGCUCUCAUAAUCUUUCCUAUUUUUGCCUUAUCCCAAAAAAGAGCUGGGUUUUUAACAAUAGCAAAUCGAGCUUGUAAGACUCCAAAAGCACGUUCCACAUCUUUUCGGAUACAAUUUGUGGUGUCAAAUAAAAGUAAGAAAGUUACAAAGUCAUGUGGUGUCAAAUUAAAAAUAAGAAAGUUAAAAAGAUACAAAGCUGGUGUCCAUGUUCUUCUCUCCUUUCGCUCUGCAGCCGGCUCUUCACCAAGGCUCAUAGCUGUUCCACAGAAGACGCUGUCCUGCUGACUGUUUAGGAGAUCGACGAAGUUUGAAGGCUGAGAGUAAGGAGUCGAAGAGAAAUCCAUAGAAAAAAUAGACAAGAGAAUGAACGAGGAAAGGGAAGGAGAAGAAUGAACGAGUAGGAGGAGAGAAACAAAAUGAUAAGAAGGAAAGAGAACUAGAUGAUGCAACGAGAAGAAGGAGAAGAACUAGGAAAGAAACCAAUAGAAUGAACAAGGAAAAGAUUCAUGAAGCACCUCGCAGAUAUAGGGAGUGAAGGACAACCGAUUAAAUGGAGAAGAAGAACCAUUCUUAAUGGUUCUCCAUUGAUUACUAACCAUUAUAAAAACCCUUUCUAACCACAUAGAAAAGACAUGUACCUAACACUAAUAUAGCAUUCAUCAAGCAACCAUUAAUGACUAACCAUAACUUUGCAUUUAUCUACCAUUAUCUAACACUAACUUUUCAUUUAUUACCAACUUAAAAGGUUUGAAGACUAACCUGAAGAGAUGCAAUGACAAGACGAGAUGGUAGAUGUGAUGCGGAACCACCGUUAUCAUCUCCUUUCUCUGCAUUAAAAAAAAGACACACCAUUAGCCAUUACUGAAAACAAAACAGAGUAAAUAGAAAAACCCAAAACCUGAAUCACAACUAGUAAAGAAACUAGCAAACACUUGAACUCUGAAUCACAAAAACUAAAAAACCUAUAAACUCAAAACAACUAGUACAUAAACUAGCAAACAAUUGAUGUUUACAUACUCGAUCAAUUCUACAUUUCGAUUAACAAUAACUCCAUUGACAACUUUACAUAUUUCCUAAACCUGCAUCACAAAAUAUCAACAAGACACUCUAAAUUUGUCAAUGAAAACAGCAUUUAAACCCAUCGAUUACAUAAAUAAAUUCAUAAAAUGAGUUCACACAAUCCAUCAAUUACAUAAUGUUAUCAUCGAUCCCUAACUCAGUCGACGCUUAAAUAGGAGAAAAAUUCAUAAUCAAAACGAUCUAAAAGCUCCAAUAAACUAUUCUAGAAAGCAAAUCGAAGGUAAAUCGGAAAUAUCAAAUAACUAGAGGGGAUGAUUUUGUUACCUCGGAGAUAACGAAGAAAGUGAUCGGGAUAAAGGGAAAAGAGAAGCCCAGGCGUCGUAGGCGUCUCCACCCGGAGGAGACAGGCCUCUCGCCGGAUAUUUCGCCGGAGAUGAUGACGAUCACUCGAUGAAGACGAUUUCGUACUCAGUUUUUUUGAUGCAUCAAGGGUUGGUGCAAAGAAGAGGAAAUGGUCGAGACUUGGAUUUUUUUUAGCCGAAAAAUGAAAUUUUAGCCGAGAAUUUUUUUGUGG